UACGUAGGCAGCGAGCGUUGUUCGGAAUUACUGGGCAUAAAGAGUGUGUAGGCGGUGUUCCCAGUCUGUUGUGAAAUCUCCCGGCUUAACUGGGAGGGUGCAGCGGAAACUAGAAUGCUAGAGGGUGGGAGAGGUAAGCGGAAUUCCUGGUGUAGCGGUGAAAUGCGUAGAUAUCAGGAGGAACACCUGUGGUGUAGACAGCUUACUGGACCACUUCUGACGCUGAGACACGAAAGCGUGGGUAGCAAACAGG
rnacentral:rRNA from 1 species